GACGAACGCUGGCGGCGUGCUUAACACAUGCCAGUCGUACGGUAAGGCCCUUUCGGGGGUACACGAGUGGCGAACGGGUGAGUAACACGUGAGUAACCUGCCCACAACUUUGGGAUAACGCUAGGAAACUGGUGCUAAUACUGGAUAUGUGCUCCUGCUGCAUGGUGGGGGUUGGAAAGCUCCGGCGGUUGUGGAUGGACUCGCGGCCUAUCAGCUUGUUGGUGGGGUAGUGGCCUACCAAGGCGGCGACGGGUAGCCGGCCUGAGAGGGUGACCGGCCACAUUGAGACUGAGAUACGGCCCAGACUCCUACGGGAGGCAGCAGUGGGGAAUAUUGCACAAUGGGCGCAAGCCUGAUGCAGCAACGCCGCGUGCGGGAUGACGGCCUUCGGGUUGUAAACCGCUUUCAGCAGGGACGAAGCUUUUUGUGACGGUACCUGCAGAAGAAGCACCGGCUAACUACGUG
rnacentral:rRNA from 1 species